CCCUUAGAUGUUCUGGGCCGCACGCGUGCUACACUGAACGGUUCAAUGGGUAAGGUAGUGCGAAAGCAUGACCUAAUCUCGAAAUCCGUUCGUGCUGGGGAUAGAAGCUUGCAAUUAUCCUUCUUGAACGAGGAAUACCUUGUAAGCGUGAGUCAUCAUCUCACGCUGAAUACGUCCCUGCCCUUUGUACACACCGCCCGUCGCUCCUACCGAUUGAGUGUUCCGGUGAGGCUUUGGGAGAAUGGCCUCAACAUGAGCUUAUCGUGUUUUGCCGUUUGAACUUAGUCAAACCUUAUCACUUAGAGGAAGGAGAAGUCGUAACA
rnacentral:rRNA from 1 species